ACCUACUCUUUGAAACUGGUCCUCAUUAUCCAGGGUUCUGUCAUAUGGAGCUUGUGAUUUCCCCUAGGAAAUGAGAAUGGACAGAUGCUGAAAUCCUAAAUUCAGCUUCAGCAUUGAAGACAAACAAGAAUCUAACACAAGUGGCCUUUGCUUCAUAAAGAAGUUUUGACCCAAAGAACUUUUAUCAAUUAAUAUGAACGUGCUAUAAUGGAGAUAGUUUCUGGUAAGAGGAGAUUGUUGGCUAAUUGAAGACUCCUAAGGAACAAUGUUUGAUAUGAGACAGAAAAAGAAAGAUGUGAAGUUAUGAAGCUGGGAUGAAGGAAAGACUAAAAUUAAAGUGUCGUAAUCUCCCAUCUUUACAAAUGAAGAAAGCAAAACUCCGAAGGAGUCUCAACAAACCUGCAGAGAAGAUCAUAAGGAGGUGGAGCCACAGAGGGGUUGAUUUGAGAGCAAAAGAAUAUUAAUUAUCAGAGCCUAAAACAAUGAGUCCAAGAGUUGUAGACAUGAACCCAGCAUAACUGUCAUCAGAGAGGCUUCACCCAGCAACUGAUGGAAACAGAUGCAGAGACCCACAGCCAAAUAUUAGAUAAGAGUUUGGAGGAUCCUAUAGAAGACAAGGAGGAAAGAUUGAAGAAACCUGAGAAGUCAAGGACACCCAAAGAAAACCUACAGAGUCAACUAACCUGGACCCAUGGGAGCUCAUAGAGACUAAACCACCAACAAGAGAGCAGGCAUGAGACAGGCCUAUGCCCUGCACAUAUGUAAGGUUGUGUAGCUGGGCCUUCUUGUGGGACUUCUCUACCUCUGUGACUGAGGACUAUUUUUGACUAUGUUGCUUUCCUUUGUAUCUCUUUCCCCUAUCUGGACUGCCUUGUUUAUCCUCAACAGGAGGAUACUUAGUCUUAUUGCAACUUGUUAUCCUAAGGCUGGUUGAUACCCAUUGGAGGCCUCCCUUUUUCUGAGUAGAAAGGCAGGGGGAAGGUGGAUAGAAUGGGAGGAGAGAGUAGAGGGAGGGACUGGGAGAAGAGGGGGAGGGGGAAAAGGU